CACUCGGUAGCACAUGGUGUGCACCUGCUUGACUUUCAGGAAGUUUUCGGUCAUGUUUAUGCAGGAGUUACUGGUUCGAUUCCGGUUUGAGUGU